CAAUCUGUCUAGUCUUACAUUGGCAAACACGAACAAAAAUUUAUUACCAAACUCCACCUAACUGAAUUUACCUUUUUACAGUGUGGCCACAGAACAGCUGCUGCGCCUAUUUCAAAAUGCCAGCUCACAGGAACACAACAGCUGAAGGAUCACUGCUGGGUACUGAAGAGAAACUGUUAUGCUAUUUUGUUACUCAAAACUUAAGUCUCCUUCCU
rnacentral:lncRNA from 1 species